rnacentral:rRNA from 1 species
UAGGGAAUCUUCGGCAAUGGGGGGAACCCUGACCGAGCAACGCCGCGUGAGUGAAGAAGGUUUUCGGAUCGUAAAGCUCUGUUGUUAAGGAAGAACGAGUGUGAGAAUGGAAAGUUCAUACUGUGACGGUACUUAACCAGAAAGGGACGGCUAACUACGUGCCAGCAGCCGCGGUAAUACGUAGGUCCCGAGCGUUGUCCGGAUUUAUUUGGCGUAAAGCGAGCGCAGGCGGUUAGAUAAGUCUGAAGUUAAAGGCAGUGGCUCAACCAUUGUAGGCUUUGGAAACUGUUUAACUUGAGUGCAGAAGGGGAGAGUGGAAUUCCAUGUGUAGCGGUGAAAUGCGUAGAUAUAUGGAGGAACACCGGUGGCGAAAGCGGCUCUCAGGACUGUAACUGACGCUGAGGCUCGAAAGCGUGGGGAGCGAACAGG